rnacentral:rRNA from 1 species
AGUGAACGCUGGCGGUAGGCCUAACACAUGCAAGUCGAACGGCAGCACAGUAAGAGCUUGCUCUUACGGGUGGCGAGUGGCGGACGGGUGAGGAAUACAUCGGAAUCUACUUUUUCGUGGGGGAUAACGUAAGGAAACUUACGCUAAUACCGCAUACGACCUACGGGUGAAAGCAGGGGAUCUUCGGACCUUGCGCGAUUGAAUGAGCCGAUGUCGGAUUAGCUAGUUGGCGGGGUAAAGGCCCACCAAGGCGACGAUCCGUAGCUGGUCUGAGAGGAUGAUCAGCCACACUGGAAUUGAGACACGGUCCAGACUCCUACGGGAGGCAGCAGUGGGGAAUAUUGGACAAUGGGCGCAAGCCUGAUCCAGCCAUACCGCGUGGGUGAAGAAGGCCUGCGGGUUGUAAAGCCCUUUUGUUGGGAAAGAAAAGCAGCAGGUUAACACCCCGCUGUUCUGACGGUACCCAAAGAAUAAGCACCGGCUAACUUCGU